CAAACCCUCAAUCCUUAAAAGAGAUUUAACAUCCCCACAAGCUUAAUUUCUCAAACUCCUACAAAUUCUUUUGUUUGGGAUUUUUGGGUUAGGGUUUGUGUUCUAAGGGAGGAAAGGGUACCCAUCUCUUGAAAGUGGUUUAUUGAGACUCAUUGAGAUUCGCAGGCAGUUGAGUAGAAAUCUGUUAUUUGAUUCAAGUCUCCACAUAUAUCUUUUGGUAGGCCUCUUUGAUUGAGGACCAUUUUUGUAACGUCUGUUGAGUCUAUGUAAUUUGCAGCUAUUUUGGAGUCUAGCAAUUUUUUGGAAAUUGUAUUAAACGAUUAGAUUAUGUUCUUUGAAUUGUGACUGAAUUGAGAAUUUAACAGGGAUUUUAUAAAUUUGGGAAUGUUGAAGUUACAGA